rnacentral:rRNA from 1 species
CUACGGGGUGCAGCAGUCGAGAAUAGUCUACAAUGGACGAAAGUCUGAUAGUGCAACGCCGCGUGGGUGAUGAAGCAUUUCGGUGUGUAAAACCCUUUUCUUUGUGAGCAAUGCCAUUAUGGUUAAUAGCUAUAGUGGAGCGAUAUUAGCAGAGGAAUAAGCCACGGCUAACUCCGUGCCAGCAGCCGCGGUAACACGGGGGUGGCGAGCGUUGUCCGGAAUCACUAGGCGUAAAGGGCAGGUAGGCGGAAUAUCUAGUCAUUUGUUAAAGGCAUUGGCUCAACCAAUGUACGGCAUAUGAUACUGGUAUUCUAGAAUUUGGUAUGGGAAGACGGAAUUCCUGGUGUAGCGGUGGAAUGCGCAGAUAUCAGGAAGAACACCGGAGGCGAAGGCGGUCUUCUGGGCCAAAAUUGACGCUCAACUGCGAAGGUGUGGGUAUCAAACAGGAUUAGAUACCCUUGUAGUC